rnacentral:rRNA from 1 species
AUGCCAGACAGCGGAGGCGCGACCGUCCUGGACGACCUCCCCGAGUGGAUCGUUGUGGAAGAGAUUCUCAUCCGUUUGCCGCCCAAGGACAUCCUCCGCUGCCGCGCCGUCCGCAGGUGGUGGCACAACGCCACCUCCACCGACAAGUUCAUGCUGGAAAACCACCGCCACCAGCCCUUUCUCCCGAUCCUCAGCCACGUCGUCGAGCUGCACAAAACCUGCCUCCUGUUUUCGUUUGAUGCCGGUGCAGGCCAGCAAAAGCUCUGCCCUGUCGUCCAGACCUGCGACUACGGUGAACUCGAGGCCGCGUGUGAUGGCCUCCUCAUCGUCUCCCAUGGAUCCAUGGCGGAUAAGUUCAUCUGCAAUCCGGUCACCCGUAAGUGUGCUCCCCUAGCGAAGCCUCAGGCCCAACGGGGUUUUGACCACCAGAUUGUUGGCUUCUACCGGCACCAACCAUCCGGAGGAGAAUUCCGAGUGCUAUGGAUCUCUAGGCCGACGAAAAUCUACAAUCCAUACGACGCAAAUUACAGAACUUUCUACUACGUCAUAGCGGUGGGAUCCGAUAAUACAAGAUGCAUCAGACAAGGAUGCAUCCCACAACCAACAUCCUCGUCGCAUUUCUUGGAGCUGGCUUUACGCAGGGGUCUGCCUGGUUCGUCCCAGUAUCCACCAGUCCACCACCGUGGGGGCCUGCACUGGAGACUUAGAAGAUACCACGGCUGGGAUGCCGACUACAUAAUGGUGUUCAACACAUCAGCUGAAACAUUUCGGUUGAUGUCUCGUCCUGCCCGAUUGUCCAACUGCUUACAGGAGUCAUUGCUGGAGAUGAAUGACACUCUUGCUUUGUGCAGCAUCAGCAGUGACAAACGCACCGUAGAUGUCUGGGUGUUACAGGACUAUGAUGCUAAGACCUGGUCUUUCAAGCAUCGGAUUAAUUUGACUGGGGUGGAUCCAUCAGCGCUUGUUGAUCGAGAGGUGAUAAUGAGCCCUAGGAUGGCUGCUCUCAAUGAGGGUGUGCUGCUGGUCCAGUUCACUUGUAGGCGUGUGUUGCAUUUUGACAUAGAUGGCAAGUUCUUAGGAUAUGUGAAGAGCAAAGAUGACCAAGAUAUCGACUUGUGGGUUACCAAUCAUUACCUCCAGGGGAGCGUUAUUCCCCUUCCACUGUCCCAUGAGAUGAGAGAAGAAGAUAGUGAAAAUCAGGAGCCUCCAUUUUUCGUAGGACUGUAG